AAGUAAAAUCAUCUGUAUUGGGGCUUUCUUGACAGGCCGUUUCUAUGCCUUUGAGGAAGCUCAAAAAUUGGAUCCUACAUCAAGUGGAGAGGGUGUUCGCCAAUUUAAAACUGCCCUCCAGCAGUCUUUUGAAGGGGGUAAGAAUUCUGCUUUGGUGGGACGGGUAAAAAAAGGCGAUAUUCGUGAAAUGUGGAGUUUUUAUCAACACCAGUAUAAGAAAUAUAUCCAAGUCUUUCAAAUGGCAGUUGAUGAAGCUGACUGGUUAGUUAUAUCUUGAUGAAGUGUUCCAUUAGGUGUUAUCCUCUAAAGAAGUUUACACUGAAGAGAAUAGUUUUACUUCUAUCAUAUGUCAUGAAGAAAUUAUAAACGAGUAAUGUAUAGGAAUCCCUAUGAUAAUAAAAGGAAAAAUAUGAACAAUUACUAAUAAGAAAAGGGUAGAUGGGAAAAGGCAAUUGAGGAAAAUGUUCCUCUUAUACUCUAGAAUUUCCCUUCGAGUUGUAGCACAUAUAUAUAACAUGCGCCAUGCUUGCCAAAGAAACUUAACAACUGCCUUCCAGUGACUAUUAUGAGAACAAUCCAAAAAUUGAUUGUCAAUGCUAACUUUUCCCUUUUUUUUUCCUGGAUAAAAGAAGAAGAAUUUAUUGAGAUCGAAGGAAAGAAUUGUAACAAAGGAGAAUGAGACAUCCUCCAUAGUAAACAGAAACAAAGAAGAAUUUGUAAAAUAAACCCAUACCAACUUAGAAAAAUGAAAAGAAAAAAGAAACAAAAGAAAAGCUACCUGUCAUGUAUAAAGAUAUCCUAACGUUGGUAGAGGUCGGAAAUACUAAUAUCAUAAAAAGAAUCAUUGCCCUUUAGCUAUAAGGAAGCAAAAAAAGCCAUGCAUUCCCACAACUUAGAAUAUGAAGUGUUUUUGUUGUUAAAGAAACUUGAAUUUUGUGUCUGCCAGAAACACCAAAAGCCUGCAAAGAAAUCACCAUGCCAUAAAGAUUUGGCUGCAUUCCUUAACCCGUUCCUUUUAAUAAAAGCACUUAGGAGGCUCUUCAGUAUUGGAGGCAAUAUCCAGUAACACCGAAACAACUUUAGUACAUUUGUCCCCAGAUUCAAAUCCACCUCAAUGAAGGAACAAAUUGGCAUGUAUUUUUUCUCCUCUUAAGCACAAAACAAAACAUCGGGAGGAAGGGCUCGAUUAGAACGACGAGUUUAGAGCAGGUUGUUUGUGUUUAGCUUUUGAUGAAUCAUAGACCAAGCAAAACACUUCAACUUAGAAGGAACGGGAGCAUUAUAGAGUCCCUUAACAACAUUUAUAAAUGUACUGAUAGAGUUAUUAAUGAUGUAUUCAAAGAAGGAUUUGCAAGUAAAGAUAUUGGAAAAUUCUAGGUUCCACAAUCUUUUAUCAGACAAGGAGGAAAUGGUGAUAGGUGCCAAUAAAUCUAAUAAGGACAAAAUGUCUAGAGUAUCCUUAUUUAAAAGAUUUUGAGAGAAGUAGAAAUUCCAAAAUGUCCUUCUCUCUGCUGUUGUGAAAUAGGAUAAAUGAGCAUAUGGGGAAGGAACACAGGAUACAGUUGAGAGAUGGCCUUCUGGGGACUUCAACGAGAGAAAUACUUUCUUGCGUGGACAUCCCAAUCCUCUCUCUUCCUCCCGUGGAUGCUUUUAGCCACUCUAUGCCGCAAAUAGUCUAGUUCCCUUGGUAAGCAUUGGAGUCAUUUAGCCUUUAAAGAUAUGUUUUUUCUAUGAGAUUUUUAGUUCCCAAGCCUCAUAAACUCUUAGAUUUACUAUACAUCUCCCGACUCACUAAAUGGUCCUUAUAAUCCUCCCUAACUCCCAACCAAAGGAACCUUUUCAUAUAAUCCUCAAUUGUCUGCUACUCCACCAAGAAUCUUAAAUAGGGAUAAGUAAUGGAGUGGAAUGCUAGAAAGACAUGAUUGGGUCAAUGUGGCCCUACCCUCUAGAUUGAAGAGACCUCCUCCCUUUUAACUCUUUAACCGCUUAGCUAUUUUCUUCUCUACCCUCUUCCAAAAGAGUAUGCUACAUGGAUUACUACAUAGUGGGUCCCUUAGGAAGAAAAUAAGCAGCUCCAACUUAUUGCAACCUAUCGUUGUCACUAAGUUAUUGCAAUCUAUCAUGUCUUCCAAAUUGAUACUAAUAAGCUCUCUCUUACUCAACUUUAUCUCUAAUCUCGAAAUAAAUUCAAAAAUCGAAAUAAGGAUUAUGAUCUGGGAGAUGAAUUGGUUGUCAUGUUGUAAGAAUAGGAUUGUUGAGGUUUCUGGGGGCUAAUGGACAAACAAGGUGGGUAUACCAGAAAGAAGAGGAUGCUUGGGGUGGAGGGAGGUGGCGACUGUGGUGGCAAGGCUAUAGAAUUCAAGUGCUAUGAAGGAGCUGCCUUCAACCAAGCCAAAAAUAGCUAAAAGACACAAAUCAUCAUCAGGAAUUAAGAACCAAGAUGAUAACUCAAUGGUGGCGUUGGAAUUAUGCAGGUCUUAGUCACAUAUCCUAUCCAUGACGGAGUAGCAAUAAAAACCGGCAUUGAUGAGCAGCCAAAUUCAAAAUUUUAAAAUGGAAUAGUCUUGCCUCAUAAUCUGCUCUGGCUGGAAAUGGGAGGAGAAUUUGUGGAGGAUAUGGUUUGAGAUAAUUAAUAGAUAAAAUAUUUGCUUAUUUUAAUCUUAGUUGACCUUUGUGGGAAAAGGAUUGCGAGGUGGGCCCUAAAGAUUACUCCGAAAGAACAAUAUUAAGAGUUAUAAGAAUGUAGUAGCAUACGGGUUGGAUAGAGAAAAGAGCUAAUUCAUGUUCACUAGGAUGCAAUUUCUGAAAAAAGAAAGGAGCCGAAGUCAGCAGCAAAUAUAGGAAGAAAAAAUAGGGUGUGGCCCAGCAAACAAGCAAGAUAAGAAUGGUGGGCGAAGCAAGAGAGAAGAAGUAGAGCAGCAGAAAAGAAAAUUAUUUAGGAACUAUUAAAGAUGGCAGUACAUUAAGGUAUUAAGGAGGAAGUAAAUCAGAACAUUAAAGACAAAAUAAAUCAGGACAUCAAAAAAGAAGUAAAUCAGAAUAUUAAAGAGAAAAUAAAUCAAGGUAUUGAAGAGGAAAAAAAUAAAGGUAUAAUUAUACCUCUGUAAUUGAUUGUAAUUAAUUUUUUAUUUUUUUUAUUUCCUAGAAAACCUGUAUAUAUAGAGAUGUAAUUUUCAACUAAGUACAUUAAUUAAAACCAUUCUUAGUAUGAUAUCAAAGUUUUAGAUUAAGAAAUUUCUAAACUUUUUUACAAAUUCUAUUCGGUCCUCAUUGCUAAAAUAAGAAAGGCUAAAAGGGGUAAGCUUUCAUAGCCGGUCACCACCUUUCUGUCGCCAGACACCACUAGCCGGCCUUCAUAAUCGAUCCUAGAACCAGUCGCUACUCCGUAUAGCCGCUAGUCUCCAACAGCUGUCUACAAGCUCUCUCUCUUGCCUUCAUUGCGACCAAACACAAACAGCUUCACGCAACUCACGUGUUUCGGGUAAAAUCCUUUCGGUAAUUUUUUCUUUUUAAUAAUUAAUUACUAUUCAAUUCUCAAAAGAUGGUGGUGAUUAUGUUCCAUGUUGUGGAAACAAAUUUUAGCGUGACAACUUUACAUCUUAGUAAAUUCAGAAUAUAGAUAAAAAGAUUAAAGGUUCGACUUGAGUCCGUGGAGAAACAAACAAGUAUCGGUUUAUUGGUACACUCAGGUAUGGAUCUUACUUCACAGGAACUAAAUGACUAGGAUAAAUCAUUUGAAAAUUAUUGGAUUAUAAGCUCGGAAGUCACAGACCAUAUGACCAAUACUUCCAAAUAUUUUUAUAUAUAUGUUCCAUGUUUAAGUAAUAAAAAGAUUAUUAUUGCAGAUGAUUCCAUCAAUAUUAUUGCAGGCAAGGCCGAUGUUAAAUUUAGACCUACCCUUAUUCUGAAAAAUGUAUUACAUGUCCCUAAAUUAUGUAUUAAUUUAGUGUCAGUGAAUAAACUAUCACAAGACUUAAACUGCAAAAUUAUAUUUAAGUCUUUUUAUUGCGACUUUGAUGACUGGAAUUCGGGAAAGAUAAUUGGAUAAGUUGAAGGCAGAAUGGACUCUACUACAUGGAUGCACAUAAGAGAUCUUUUUCUGCUAUUACUACCGAACUCACAAAUAAGAUUUAACUUCACUAUAAAAGAUUUGGAUUCCCAUCCGUCUCUAUUUUAGACAUGAUAUUUUCAUCAUUAUUUAAGAAU